GAGGUCAAGCAAAUCCCAUAAAGUUGUUCUCAGUUCGGAUUGUAGUCUGCAACUCGACUACAUGAAGCCGGAAUCGCUAGUAAUCGUAGAUCAGCAUGCUACGGUGAAUACGUUCCCGGGUCUUGUACACACCGCCCGUCACACCACGAGAGUUUGUAACACCCGAAGCCGGUGGAGUAACCUUUUAGGAGCUAGCCGUCGAAGGCGGGACAAAUGAUUGGGGUGAAGUCGUAACAAGGUAGCCGUAUCGGAAGGUGCGGCUGGAUCACCUCCUUU
rnacentral:rRNA from 1 species